AGCUUGCUGGGUGGAUUAGUGGCGAACGGGUGAGUAACACGUGAGCAACCUGCCCCGAUCUCUGGGAUAAGCGCUGGAAACGGCGUCUAAUACCGGAUAUGCACCAGAACGGCAUCGUUACUGGUGGGAAAGAUUUUUCGGUUCGGGAGGGGCUCGCGUCCUAUCAGCUUGUUGGUGAGGUAAUGGCUCACCAAGGCGUCGACGGGUAGCCGGCCUGAGAGGGUGACCGGCCACACUGGGACUGAGACACGGCCCAGACUCCUACGGGAGGCAGCAGUGGGGAAUAUUGCACAAUGGGCGCAAGCCUGAUGCAGCAACGCCGCGUGAGGGAUGACGGCCUUCGGGUUGUAAACCUCUUUUAGUAGGGAAGAAGCCUUCGGGUGACGGUACCUGCAGAAAAAGCACCGGCUAACUACGUGCCAGCAGCCGCGGUAAUACGUAGGGUGCAAGCGUUAUCCGGAAUUAUUGGGCGUAAAGAGCUCGUAGGCGGUUUGUCGCGUCUGCUGUGAAAACUGGAGGCUCAACCUCCAGCUUGCAGUGGGUACGGGCAGACUAGAGUGCGGUAGGGGAGAUUGGAAUUCCUGGUGUAGCGGUGGAAUGCGCAGAUAUCAGGAGGAACACCGAUGGCGAAGGCAGAUCUCUGGGCCGUAACUGACGCUGAGGAGCGAAAGAGUGGGGAGCAAACAGGCUUAGAUA
rnacentral:rRNA from 1 species